GAUAACUAGGGGCCAGUGGCGGGGGGAAGAUGCGGGGUGCGAGUGUGAAACGGAAUGUCAGGGCGGAAAGCGGGCGCAGGCGGGUAGGUAAGACCGCGGUGAAACCCCCGGGCGCAACCGGGGAACUGCCUUUGUGACGGCAUGGCUAGAGUGCGGCAGAGGGGGAGGGAAUUCCGCGUGUAGCAGUGAAAUGCGUAGAUAUGCGGAGGAACACCGAUGGCGAAGGCAAUCCCCUGGGCCUGCACUGACGCUCAUGCACGAAAGCGUGGGGAGCAAACAGGAUUAGAUACCCCAGUAGUC
rnacentral:rRNA from 1 species